GUUCACCCUAAAUGUGUUAUCAAUAUGCCUCUUGAAGCACUCGUAUACAAAAUAUCACAUUGGCAGAAGGCUAGCUAAGGUCAAGAAGGGGAAGCAAGCAGAUCUGGUCGUACGACACACUUUUUAACCCUAACUGAUAAUUCUACUCUCCGCUAUUGCACGAUUGAAAUGAGUUAAGGGCGAUUUCGGCUCCAAAGAAAAGACCUUACGCUGCGGUGCUGUGAUUGGUUGACAUCUGUCACACAUCACCGGCCCUUUUUUACCCUUAUAAAUCACAUAACGACACCGCGAACAAUCCAUUGGCACAACAAAUCGGAGCUUAGAAGCCCAAUGAAAUACUCAAGCUCCGGAAACCACGGUAUUACCCGCUCAUAUGAUGUCCGUAGUCUAGGUCGUUACCUUGUCGGCGUUAUUGGAACAUAAGAGGCGUCCUAGACGUGUUUUCUUACUCGGUUUAUGAGGCAGAAAGCAAUUAGCCAAAGAAGCAUUUUGUAAUUAGUUGUUGUAUGAUUGUUUAUUAACAGAGCAGGACGCGUGCGAAAUUAAAGCGAUCGGAGCUAAUAAAAAAACUUAUUGAAUUAGCCAUAUUGUUUGGAAGAAAAUGAGUUUAGUUUCGCACGGAGAAGCAAGGAUAAUGGGCUCGAACUACGAGGCAAAAUCAAACAAAUUUAGCGGAAUUUCACACCCCAUCCUACCACCUAAAUCCCCAAUAACUAUUUCCUAUCUAAAAAAAAACUCUGAAGUCUCUUUAAAAAAAUCUUAUCAUUCAUAUCUAAAUCGAAGCUAUCUUCGUGAUGAGCACAUAUCAAAGGCCACACUAGUCGUUCGGGUGUGAUACAAGAAAGUUCCUGGGUAUUUCAAAGAGAUUGUGACCAUCAGACAUAGUAAUUAGACAAGGAAUGCUUCCAGUUUGAUUAUGAUAACAGUUUAUUUUGUUUUCAAUCUAAACGGAGCUUCAAUAUUAGGGCAUAGGAAGGAGAAAAGAAAAUAUUGUUACUUUUUAAUGGUGUUCUUAGGAUUAGAGGGGUUUUUACUGUAUUGCGGUGAAUGCUGGUAAAUAAACUGGAGCGGGUAUUUGCUCAGUAGGGUUUCGACUUCAAAGAGGGAUUAGCGUUUGUUGAACUUGACGAGCAACUAUUACGAAAAGUAAUUCUGCGAGGUAUGUGCGCUUUAUCAUGCGGGGCACUUUGCGUUGUCCUUUAGGCGAAACUACUGGCUCUUUUGGGACCGUUCAUCUUAAAGAGGAUUCACAUCACAUGAAGGGGUUAUACCCUUCGAUAGGAAAAGCAAAAAAAUAGUGAGAAAAACAUACUUUAAAAACUUUACAGGAAGAGAGCAUAGGUUUUAAAAAUUCUUCAACCUCUCACGGCGGUAUAAAAGCUUCCCACAACUAAAUAAACAUUUAAACUAAAAGUUGAUUGUCUUUUUUCGACCUGUUCACAUUUGUUUGCUUGAUCUAAUAAGGAAAAUUGUAACAGCUCUGCGAAGAAAUUAAUUUAAGAAAACAUGCUUUGAUAUUCACUUUUAAAAUGAGGCAUGUCUUCAGCCCGUCACAGACGGCGGGAUUCAACGCAAUCGUCGGUUCCGGUGAACGAAAAAUAGACAUUGGAUUGACCGGAAAAUGCAAGAACAUAACUCCUUUACACCCUUUACGCGAUCAGCGGCCGUAGAGUCUUAGGUAUUCAGCUUUAAUGAUCGGAAGCGAAUUCAUUCUGUUUACAUUUAAAAUAGAAAUUAAAACUUUUAGGUCGCGUUCCAAAGUGGCUUGUUAAUUCUAACUCCACCCCAUUCACUCCCAAAUAAUCCUGUAUCUGAAUUUUCCAUCAUUAAAUUAUGAUUAGACGAAGGAACUCUAGGUAUCUGAUCUGAAUGACCAAUUUAGGUUCCCUGUAGCGACUCCAUGUGGAUUGGAUCAUAACUCACAGUGAGGACUCUCAUUUUAAAAGUGCCUUUCAAUUCAAACUUCUUUAGGCGGCGACAACACUCGUCAUUGUACCAUCACCGCUUCAGCGAUAUCCCGAAUCAAACAAGAAGCAUUUCUCUACCAUUAGUUGACACAAACCAAGAGUGGACUCUUCAGAGAUUAAACCUGGGUCUAGGCUUUCAGCUUGUUCAAGACGAACUAUGGCAGGAAAAUCAAUCAAGCUUAGAAGGGUAGAUGAAAUGGAUAACUUGCAUACACAUAUGCUCCAAAACAAAUUUUGGAAUAUCAAUUCAUAAUGGCUCCAUAAAGCCUUUGUAGUAUGUGGCCAUAAAUGUAUAAUGUGGCUUUAGCUUUGAUGACUACUUACGACAAGUCAAUUGUGUAUCAUGAUCAAGUUUUUGUUGCUGUAACCAGGAUUUUGUCCUGUAAGAAAAACAUGUACAAUUAAAGUGUGGGAAAAUAUAUUGGAUCAUUCUGUUUUAAA